rnacentral:rRNA from 1 species
AAUUGCUUAUAACCUUUUGGUUAUAAAUAAUUGUUAGUGGCAGACGGGUGAGUAAUGCGUAGGAAUCUACCUAGUAGUAUGGAAUAGCCAUUAGAAAUGAUGGGUAAUACUGUAUAAUCCCUGCGGGGGAAAGAUUUAUCGCUAUUAGAUGAGCCUACGUUAGAUUAGCUAGUUGGUAAGGUAAUGGCUUACCAAGGCUAUGAUCUAUAGCUGGUCUGAGAGGACGAUCAGCCACACUGGAACUGAGAUACGGUCCAGACUCCUACGGGAGGCAGCAGUGGGGAAUAUUGGACAAUGGGCGAAAGCCUGAUCCAGCUAUGCCGCGUGAGUGAAGAAGGCCUUCGGGUUGUAAAGCUCUUUCAAUAGGGAAGAUAAUGACGGUACCUAUA